rnacentral:rRNA from 1 species
AUUGAACGCUGACGGCAGGCCUAACACAUGCAAGUCGAACGAGUGGCGGACGGGUGAGUAAUGUCUGGGAAACUGCCUGAUGGAGGGGGAUAACUACUGGAAACGGUAGCUAAUCCCGCAUACCAUCGGAUGUGCCCAGAUGGGAUUAGCUAGUAGGUGGGGUAAAGGCUCAGCUAGGCGACGAUCCCUAGCUGGUCUGAGAGGAUGACCAGCCACCCGGGAACGGAGACACGGUCCAGACUCCUACGGUAGGCAGCAGUGGGGGAUAUUGCACAAUGGGCGCAAGCCGGAUGCAGCAAUGCGGGGUGUAUGAAGAAGGCCUUCGGGUUGUAAAGUACUUUCAGGGGGGAGGCGUUACCCGCAGAAGAAGCACGGGCGAACUCCGUGCCAGCCGCCGCGGUAAUUC